GUGCCCGUAGCUUAGUGGCAAAGCUUCCCGCUGUGGCCGGGAUGACACGGGUUCGAUCCCCGUCGGGCGCC
rnacentral:tRNA from 2 species